GGCCCCGUCGUCUAGCGGUCCAGGACACUAGGUUUUCAUCCUAGUAAUCACCGGUUCGAAUCCGGUCGGGGUCA
rnacentral:tRNA from 1 species